UACGAGAGGUCCAAACGUUAUUCGGAAUCACUGGGCUUACAGAGUUCGUAGGCGGUCCAGAAAGUGGGGUGUGAAAGCCCUCGGCUCAACCGAGGAACUGCGCUCCAAACUACUGGGCUAGAGGAAGAUAGAGGUGAGCAGAACUGAUGGUGGAGCGGUGAAAUGCGUUGACAUCAUCAGGAAUACCGGAGGCGAAGGCGGCUCACUGGGUCGUUUCUGACGCUGAGG
rnacentral:rRNA from 1 species